rnacentral:snoRNA from 1 species
UCACUAUGAUGAUUGUUUGCCAACCAUUCGCAGUUUCCACCAGAAAGGUUUUCCUUAAUGUUGGCUAAACCUUCCUUGGAUGUCUGAGUGA